rnacentral:lncRNA from 10 species
CCAGGCUGGAGUGCAGUGGUGCGAUCUCAGCUCACUGCAACCUUUGCCUCCUGGGUUCAAGUGAUUCUCCUGCAUCAGCCUCCCGAAUAGCUGGGAGUACAGGCACGUGCCACCAUGCCCGGCUAAUUUUUUAUAUUUUUAGUAGAGGCGGGGUUUCACCGUAUAAGCCAGGAUGGUCUCGAUCUCCUGACCUUGUGAUCUGCCCUCUUCAGCCUCCCAAAAUGCUGGGAUUGCAGGUGUGAGCCACCGCGCCUGGCCAUGGUUUGGUUUUUUUUAACUGGGGAGUCUUAUUUGCAGUGAGAAUGGAUGUGGGCGUGUGGGGUCUUCAUACCAGGUGAUCCUUUCAGAGGCCGCCAUGUUGGUCAACCCCAAAGAGGCAACUUCACCUGCUUUUCUGAAGCCGUCCUCCAGGGGUGCCAUUCCCAUAGACUACAAGGUGAGAGGUGGCGCCCCUGGAGUCGUGGCACCUGGUGUCCUGUUUCUCUAGUCACAUAAGGGGCCAAACUUGCCUUCUGCAGGAGACCGAACGCUUCCGAGAGCAGAGGCUAUGCCUUAGUCACCAUUUUGUGCCUGGCAUGCAUUAGGUGUUCACUCCAUGUGGGUAGAAUGAAUAGAGAAUAGGGAAGGGCUGAGAUACCAUCUGAUCUUCCUCAGGAAUUGGGGCAGUGUUGGUGGUUGGUGAUGGGG